CUUUAACUUUGACAAGAUUCCUCACAGACUUUCAAGGUAACAAAUGUCAUUUAAUCAAAGUGUCUCCGUUACAAUUUAUGCUACAUAUGUGCAUUUCUUACAAUGAGUACCAUUCGAUUAUAUGUAGGUGGAACGUUUAUGAAACACAAUAGCAUGUCUGAAUAAAAUAAAACAAACGCUUUUACUUUAAAUUGAAGAAAUGAUUUAAAAAGAAAACAAACAAAAUACAAUGACUUUUAAUUAUAAGAAUAAGUAACUGAUGCUGUUAAAUAAUAUAUUUGAAUAUUUGUAGCUCAUAAUACAAAAUAUUGCAGACUUAUUAUAAUUAUGUACUUCAAUAUCAACUAAAAUGCGAAAGAAGAAAAGAAAAGGAAAUGAAUAAUUGUAUUUAAAAUGAAAAACUUAAGCACAAAUUGAAAAUGAGACAAUCCUGUUAAAAGCGUUGUUAAUGAAUGUCGUUUAAAAUCGUUAAGUAAUAUUAUCCACAUCUUUGUAUUGCCGAUGAAAAUCAAGUUUGAUUAAAAUAAUUAUUGUAAUACUUGACAAAUUCACUUUGAAGUGGGAUUUAUCUGUCAAUAAUCAAUAAGCACGAAGACACUCGUUAUUUAACUAGUAAAGCGGAAACAGUUAGCUACAAUUAAAGGAAGUAAUGGAACAGGUAAAUCUAUACCAAUAUUGAUAUUAUAUUAAUUUUUAAUAAAAAUGUACAUUUUAAUAUCAACAUUAAAUUCAUUGUAUCUACAACUUAUAAAAAGGGUUGCACGUUUUAAUUAAAAUUAAAAAAUCCAAUAAACAGAUACAAUGAUGUUAGAAUAUUAAAACGAUUCUCAUUCAAUAUUGUUAUUUGACGUCCGUAAUUUUUACAAACAAAUUUUACGACGACUAUACAAACAUUUUAUAAAGGUAAAACAUUGUCGCAAACUUUAAGAUCCGUUAUAGAUGCGAUAAUGUACAAUUAUAUCUGUGAUAUCUAUAAAUCCUUUAGAUAUUUAUAUUCUACAGAUACAUUGCUAGUAUAUCUUUUCUUUUUCAUUUUUAUACAGACAUAUUUUACUUUUUUUCGGAUACAUUUGAUAUAAAAGAUAUAUUUAUUACUCUACGUUUCCAUUAAAAGAUCUGUCAAAUAGUGGAAUCAUCCACUUGUAUGUCUACUUUUAACGCAAAAUGUAACAAAUUGCUUCUUUGAAUUUCAAAAACCAAAUAAAUUGAAGCUGUAUUUUUGGAUUUAAACAAUUUUAAAGAUUUAAAAAAAGAGAAUAAAAAUUCAUGAAUGUUGCGUAUCUAUGAAAAUUUGAGUAAACCUGACAAAUAAUUAGGAAAUUAUUGAAAUCUUUAAGAAUUAUUAUAUUACUUGAAACAAUAUCUAGUACACGUAUUAUAUUUAUUAUUACACAUAUUAUAUUCCGUACAUAGUUUCGUUCGAAUAGAAUAGAAUGCACUUUACCAGUCGAUCGUUAAUUUUGAUCUGAUCGAAACAUUAAAAUUGUUCUAUUUCGAAACUCGCAUUAGUAUGUAAAUGAGGAAUAAUUAUAGGAGUUGGCAGUAAAGCGAGUAAACAGACACGGUCUCCAGUCAUGCUCGACUCUCGUAACUGCUCGUAACACACGCUCGAGCGUUGGGAAUGCGGAACCGCAUCCGCUUGGGGCUUAUGUUAGACAGUUCAUAUACGGAAGUGUCAAUCGAAUCUGUAGACACGGUCGCCUUGACCGCGGCUGACGUCGCAGUUCAAUGCCGGUGUAACGCGACUUUUUUAUUAUUAUUAUUAAUAUUGCUGCGCGGUUGCAUAAUUUCACGGAUAGGAACAAGGAACUGGCAAACAACAGGAGGAAGAAAAAGAAACAACAUGAUGGACAUUGAGAAGUGCGUGGAAAUUGCAGGUAUAAGCGUGCAGCAAACUUUGAGAGGAAUUAUCGAUGAUAACAUGUUAAUUCUUUAAAUCAGUGAUGGCCCCUGCUGUGCUGAUAAGAAUUUCAUUUGUAGGAACACAAAGAACAAAAAACUUUCACAAAUGACAAUUUUACCUUCGUCCUAAAUCGAUUCAUUAUCGACAAAAUAGAUGUUUGCACGAGGCGUCAGGGAAACCGUCAUCAUUAAUCAAGAUACUAACUUAAUCCUAGAACUAUAGAGUGGCUCACACAAGUAUUGCAACAUCCAUAGAAACCUUUGUGUGUGUUUCUAUAACUAACAAUAAGUGUUCAGAUACUUUGGACAGUCACGUGGUAUUACAAUUGUAAGUAUGUUUCUCCUCUAUUUAGUGUUCCAACAUUAUAUUAUUAUUAUUCGAAUCAUUUAAAUGUAAAUCCAUAAUUAUCUCAAUGUGAAUUUAUAAUCGUUUCAAUAUAAAUUCAUAAUCAUUUCAAUGUGAAUUCAGAAUCAUUUAAAUGUAAAUUCAUAAUCGUUCAAUCUUUAAUUUGAAGCAAGCUGUACGCUAACUACGAAAAGUAACUGUAUAACAGUGUCGUUAUAAAUUGUUUCGAUGUACGCGUAUGCUUUCCAAAACAUGCCUCUCCGAUCUGAAGCGAAAUAUGCUACUGUACGAUAGACGUUAGGAACGUGCUGCAAGGACAUCGAUAAAUCACACUAGUCAUGAUUUAAAAACGUUAUGCUGUAGUACCGUGAAAUUAUAACAAAAGUACGUGUAAAUAACCAAUUACUCCAUGUCAUUACAAUAUACGGUAAAUGACAAUACGUGAAUGAUGCUGCUCCUCUGCAGUCGUCCUAUCGAGUAUAAGUGUACAAACAAAUUAGAAACAACGAACGUUGUAAAGCGUAAGGGUACCGAUUAAAAACAGGAAACCGACGUUCCACUAAUGAUUACACUGGUUAACAGCUGGAAUCUAUUCUAGGUCUAGUUCUAAUUUUGGCGUACCUUGUUAUGUCUCUAAUCGAGGAAUUUAAGCGAUAAACGAUAUAAAUGUCGAAAAAUAAAGAAACUCCUGUUGCUCAUUUCGGACAAAAUAAAACAUAAUUUGGAAUUUUAUUCUUCAAAUUCAAACAAGAUUUAUUACACCGCAACUGCUUGAAAAAUAAAAAACUCCUUGCAAAUCUGAAGCAUUCAAUUCUUUACAUGAAAAACUAACUUUCAUAUUCGUACAUAUUAGUGAUGCUUUAUUAUUUAUCUCAUAGCAAAGAUCACACACCUAUAUUUUAAUUCCGUUGAAUUCCGUAUUUAAAGAUUCCCCGAUAUUAAUAAAAAAUUGCGUCACCCAAGUAUGACGCUGUGAAUCAAUUUUAUUAUUUCACUACAUAGUUAAACGCGAAUCGCUUGAGGACUUAUCACGACGAUCACGAUUGAGUAACAUUUAUGAUUGUUCGUGCAUCGUAUAAGUAUAAAUGUAAAACGAGUGAUCUUGAACUUAUAAUUAACAGUGCCCUCGUACGAGUAUAAUUCGAAAACAUAAUGUGCAACAUGAUUUAUCACGCUGAUUAAACUCGUGGUA